UUUUCGUAGGUGAACCUGCGGAAGGAUCAUUAUUGAAUGAAACACUUCUGGCUUUAUGCUGUUGUGCUGGCCCUUUGGGCAAUGUGCACACGGCUCUGGUCACUUGUUUCUUCUGUUCCACCUGUGCACUGCCUGUAGACACGCUGUGUCUAUGAUAUUUGUUAACACACAACAAUGUUAGUUGGCAUGUUAUAUAUAAUAAUAAAAUAUACAACUUUCAACAACGGAUCUCUUGGCUCUC
rnacentral:misc_RNA from 1 species